CGAGGGUGCAAGCGUUAAUCGGAAUUACUGGGCGUAAAGCGAGUGUAGGCGGCUUCGUAAGUCGGAUGUGAAAGCCCUGGGCUUAACCUGGGAAUGGCAUUCGAAACUGCGCGGCUAGAGUCUGAUAGAGGGAAGUGGAAUUCCAGGUGUAGCGGUGAAAUGCGUAGAGAUCUGGAGGAACACCAGUGGCGAAGGCGGCUUCCUGGAUCAAGACUGACGCUGAGGCUCGAAAGCGUGGGGAGCAAACAGGAUUAGAUACCCGCGUAGUCC
rnacentral:rRNA from 1 species